UAAGUCGCCGUUCUGCCACCGUCGGGCUUCUUGCCCCCGCCGAGGAGCUCGAAGGGAGGAAGGAGGGAUGUAUCGCCGCCUUCGUGCUCUGUCGCGGCGCUGCCGUCGAUUGGAGCUCGCCGCUGAGCUGCUGCACCGUCUCCAAGCCGUUGCGUCGCCGCUCAUCUCUUCACUGUCACUGCUCAACACCAUCGUCGUAUCCUCUGUCACCAGUUCGAAGGUGUGUAUGAUUUUGAUAGUGAUGAUGAACUAUAAUGGCUAAUUGAGAUACAGAAGGUGCUGGAAAUUUCAUACGUGCGUGCUAAACUAGGGAAAUCAUUCUGUAGGAAAGUGUCGAGCUGCAGGAGUUUUCAUUGGGUUCAUGCCCUCCUAGUAUGGGUCUUCAAGGGAUGCGUUGGUCAACUAUCAUUGAUCAGUAUUCAGGUGGUUGCACAAAAUGGCUAAAAUUCACAUCGCCAUCAUCUUAUUGAGGCUCUGCCUAGUAUGCAAUUCGGCAGGAUUUUAUUCAGACACAAAUGAAAUGACCAUUUUCUUGUUUCUAUUUACACCAAUCCUGGAUGGAAAAGCACUUUUGUAUUCAUUUGUAUCCUGAAUGGCCUGGUGUUUCUUCUUGGCUGAGAAAGCUUUUUGUGAGAGCCAUUCAAGAGCUAUGGCAGUGGUGGUCGCGGUUAUUGCGCGUGGUGGUGGAUACAGAGGAGGAGGAGGCGGUGGUGAUGGUGCUUGCUACAGCUGCGGUGGUAGGUACAAUGGCGGAGGCGGUGGUGGAAGCUG